UACGUAGGCAGCAAGCGUUGUUCGGAAUUACUGGGCGUAAAGCGUGCGCAGGCGGUUUGGUAAGACAGAUGUGAAAUCCCCGGGCUCAACCUGGGAAUUGCAUUUGUGACUGCCCGACUAGAGUGUGUCAGAGGGGGGUAGAAUUCCACGGUGUAGCAGUGAAAUGCGUAGAGAUGUGGAGGAAUACCGAUGGCGAAGGCAGCCCCCUGGGAUAACACUGACGCUCAUGCACGAAAGCGUGGGGAGCAAACAGG
rnacentral:rRNA from 1 species